rfam:Pteropus vampyrus cont1.270781, whole genome shotgun sequence.
CCGGGCCGGUGGCUUCCGCAGCCUCGGGCAGUGGCGGGGAGGUGGCUGGCACGGGCCAUUUUCGGCUCCGGUGGCGCUAAGUGUGGAAUGCGUAACUUGGAGGGA